GAUGAACGCUGGCGGCGUGCCUAAUACAUGCAAGUCGAGCGAACAGACGAGGAGCUUGCUCCUCUGACGUUAGCGGCGGACGGGUGAGUAACACGUGGAUAACCUACCUAUAAGACUGGGAUAACUUCGGGAAACCGGAGCUAAUACCGGAUAAUAUAUUGAACCGCAUGGUUCAAUAGUGAAAGACGGUUUUGCUGUCACUUAUAGAUGGAUCCGCGCCGCAUUAGCUAGUUGGUAAGGUAACGGCUUACCAAGGCAACGAUGCGUAGCCGACCUGAGAGGGUGAGGGGCCACAGGGGAACUGAGACAGGGCCCAGACUCAGACGGGGGGCAGAAGGAGGGAAUCUUCCGAAAUGGGCAAAAGAUUGAAGGAGAAACGCCGGGAGAGGAAGGAAGGUUUUGGAAUAGAAAAACUUUUUUAUUAGGGAAAAAAAAAGGUGAAAGAAAAAAUGCACGUCUUGAGGGUACAAAAUCAGAAAACCACGGCAAACUCCGGC
rnacentral:rRNA from 1 species